AUGCGCAGCCCGCGGAGCUUCCUCGCCGCCGUCUCCGGACACCUCGCCGGCCGCCAAGCUCCAGCGGCUCCUGGUCACCACUCCCUCCCCGUGCGCACGCUCCAAACCCUAGCCCAGCGGGAGCCUGUGCGCCUCAAGAAACUCUCGGCCCCCGACACCGGGAUCCUGGAGCUGACGCUGGAGCGGCCAGAGGUGAAGAACGCCAUCAGUUGGGAGUUGAUGACAAGGCUGCGGGGCGCGAUCCACAAGAUUGAGGCCGACGCGACGGCCAAGGUCGUCCUUGUUGCGAGCUCCGUACCGGGAGUCUUCUGCGCAGGCGCCGAUCUCAAGGAAAGGAGGCACAUGAGCUCUUCACACGUUAAAGAAUAUGCUAAUUCCUUACGGUCUACAUUCUCGUACUUUGAGGCACUCUCCAUUCCAACAAUUGCCGUCAUUGAAGGAGCUGCUUUGGGUGGUGGGCUAGAACUUGCUCUCUCAUGUGAUCUGCGUAUAUGUGGAGAAAAUGCAACCCUUGGACUGCCAGAGACAGGCCUUGCUAUUAUUCCUGGAGCCGGGGGUACACAGCGUCUUCCAAGGAUCACCGGAAGGUCCAGAGCGAAGGAACUGAUAUUCACAGGCCGCAGAUGCGACGCAACUGAAGCCGUCUUGAUGGGUAACACUAGCCUCGUCGUGUUUUCCUCCCACCAUCAUCAGUUCUUCAAAGAGAACUCAAAAUGCAUCUCUGCGCUGCAGGACUAG
rnacentral:rRNA from 1 species